rnacentral:snRNA from 1 species
GUGCUCACUUCAGCAGCACAUAUAUUAAAAUUGGAAUGCUACAGAGAUUAGCAUGGCCCUUGUUCAAGGAUGACACUCAAGUUUGUGGUGUUCCAUGUUAAA